AUGCACCUCCUCAGGUGACUGCAGCAGUUCCUUAGGUUCCAUCUUCUCAAAGGGUACAGGGCUCAAGAAUUCGUCUUCCAGAGAGUUAUCUCAAGUCCUGGCUUGUAUUGUAUCUGCCUAUGUUGGCUUAUGUUGUCCCCGAGGCUGCUGAUUUCCCCAGGGUCUGCCAUUUACUUCAAGGAGCAGCAGCCAGAAGAUGUGUCACAGCACGUUCUUCAGCGUCUCAGGUUUUGCAACUCAUUUUUAAAGUUAGAAUAAAAAAUCCUCAGCCGGGUUAUAUUGUAUGUACUGACAUGGAAUGUACCCAUGUUGGCUUAAAACCCAGUAAAACAGACGAUGAUGGGCAAGAAAAAACCCAGAAAAAAAGCCCAACAAGAUGGGCAAGAAAAAAACCCAGAAAAGAACCCCAAGACGGGCAAGAAAAAACCCAGAAAAAAAAACCGAAGAUGGGCAUGAAGAGACCCAGGAAAAACCCCCAAGAUGGGCAAGAAAAACCCAGAGAAAACCCAGAAAAACAAUUCCAAGAAGGGCAAGAAAAGACCCGGAAAACACCCAGAAAAAAUCGCAACCAAAGUAUAAAUAUAUAAAUGUCUUUCAAAUAUAUAGAGAAUUGUUAAAUUAUUUAAAAUACAAAAUAACAUAAAUCAAUAUCUGCAUGUAAGAUCCAUAAUACAAGUAAUACUGUAUAUAUCCUAUUAUAGUGUAUUGUAAGAAAUAGAUAUAAAAUUGAUAUAAAUGUAUUUAUGUUUAUCAUAUCUAUCAUUUGUUAUAUAUUACACCAUAUUGAUAUAAGUUUUUUAAAGCAGUUUAACAUAAAGGGGGGUUUUGUUUUUUAUUUGGCAAAAGCAGGGGUUUUAGUACAAAAAUGAUAAAUACAAAUAAUAUAAAGGUAGAAAUCUAAGUAUAGAAACAGAUCAUAAAGAGCAAAAGGCUAAUAUAAAAUUAAAAAUCUAAGAUAAAAUAAGUUGUAGCAGUAGAUAUGGUACAUAAUUUAAAAAAUAAUUUAUUUCUAUUAUUUGAAUAGGACACAUAUGAUAUAUCAUGAUUAAUAUAAUGCUUAAAUAUAAACUAUAAAUAUAAAUGUGAAUAUAGUCAUGCAAGCUAUAAAUAUAAAAUAUAAACUAUAAAUAUAAAUGUGAAUAUAGUCAUGCAAGCUAUAAAUAUAAAAAUAUUUCAAUAUAGUUUAAAAGAAUAGAGCUUUUUUGUAUUUGUUUAGUUAGUAUGGGAUUUUUAUUUUAAAUAAUUAAAAUUACAUUUCUAUCAUGCUUUUAACAUAGAAAUAUACAAUAAAUAUAGAAAGAUUUUUUUAAAACCACAAAAUAUAAAUAAAUAGAAACAGUAGGAAUAGACAGAAUAUAUUUUAUAAAUUACAUGCUACAUCAAUGUCCACUAUAAAUAUGCAUGUGAAUAUAAAUACGAAAAAUAGGACUAUCAAAUUGAUUUUAAUAGGAUUUUAAAGCAAGGCGGUUUGUUUGGUUCUGGUCGGAUAAGAGGCAGGUUUUUGGCAUUUAUUUCAGAGCAGUUUUUGUCUGGGGUCGCCCCUGUUCUUUUUUGCCGCCUUCGCUGCCCGCAGCCCCGAGGCGCGCUGCGCCCCCGUCUGGGGCGGGCGGCAGUGCUGCCGCCUUGUGGGCAGAGCGCGGUACUGCAGCCGUGCGCCGGCAGGCAGCCGAGAGGCCGCCAUGCUGGGAGUGGCGUGUCGCGGGUGUCUCGGACUUUUCGUUGACCUUCUCGAGAUGGCGGGGAAGUGGAGGACCCCGGUGGGUGUAAGUGAACUGCCUGCAUGGAAUACCGACGUCAUGGCGGCCCCGACGGAUUUUUCUGUGGCGUUUGAAGCGUAUCCGAUACAUGCUGUGGGCUCAGCGUCGCCGCGGGCGGGCGUAUUUCUGCGGGUUUGUGACAGGCAUCUGGGUAAACCUGGCCUGUCUGCGCCGGGGUCCUCUCAUGCCCGCUCUCCCGCCCUCAGCGAGCCGAGCCGGGCUGAAGUGUUCCGAAGAGCCGAGUGUGGCCGAAAAUAACCGAGUUUAGCUUAAGAGACCAGGAUAGCCUAGUGUAGCUGACAUUAGCCGCGUUAGGACAAAGAGCCGCGUGAGACCGAGGUUAGCCAGUAGCCGGGAGUGGCCUGGUGGCUCCUGAAAUUCCACGAUAGGCAGGAUGGUUCCCAGACCCAAGCUGGCCCCAGUGCCAAGUCGGGCUGACGUGAUAGCGCCUCGUGGCUCCUGCAGUGUGCCAUCCAGAAGCGGGGCAGACAGCCAGUUCUGAAGCACUGAGCAGAGAUCUGCCCGGGAGGAAGAGCAGAGCCAAUCUCUGAGAGCUGACGCGCGAGCUGUGGUGAGGACAGCUGCUCCCUGCCUGCAGCCUGCCUUGGUGUGGGAGCUGCUGAGCUGCCAUUCCUGUGGUGGGAGUGUUUCUCCUCUCAUCGAGCCAAGCCAGAGACCUGCUAGGGAAGGAGCAGG